GGGUCAGUAGGUUGGUCGUGCCACCGGUACGUACUGGUCUCACUGAUUCCUCCUUCCUGAAGAACCGUAAUGCCAUUAAUUUGGUGUUGCGGGGAAACAGGACUAUUACUUUGAAAAAAUUGGAGUGUUUAAAGCAAGCUAACGCUUGAAUACAUUAGCAUGGAAUAAUGAAAUAGGACGAUCGAUCCUAUUUUGUUGGUUUCUAGGAUUGACGUA
rnacentral:rRNA from 1 species